AAGUCUAUGGUAAAACAAUUGGUAAUUCAUUCUAACACUUAAUAGUUGGGGAAAGGAAGAGGACUAAUGAAAAUAGUAAUAGUUUGAACACAACACUUCUACACAGGCCCCUCUUUAUAGUGGGGGCAUUCUAUUUCUGAGAAGUUGAGUUGCAACUUUCCAGUUAGAUUAAUCACUUGACAGAAAAAUCCACAUAAAUGCUUUCCAACAUUCAAUAUAGUCCGAGUGCGAGAAGACUUGGAAAUUCUGAUCUAAUUUGCAAGACAAUGUUAACAAAAGACUUGUUUAUCUAAUAUGCUGUCAUACUGACAUCUAUUCAAAAUAAAUCCAUUUAAUCCAAAUAUAAAAGAGAGAGAUGAUAAAAGGUAUAAACUUUGUGUACCAUGUGGCGACAAGGAAGAACGGUUGUGUCUCGGGGUUCUGACAAGCAAAUCACACAUUCUUUUCCAGAA